rnacentral:rRNA from 1 species
UACGGAGGAUCCAAGCGUUAUCCGGAUUUAUUGGGUUUAAAGGGUGCGUAGGUGGCCUGUUAAGUCAGGGGUGAAAGACGGUAGCUUAACUAUCGCAGUGCCUUUGAUACUGACGGGCUUGAAUACACUAGAGGUAGGCGGAAUGUGACAGGUAGCGGUGAAAUGCAUAGAUAUGUCACAGAACACCAAUUGCGAAGGCAGCUUACUAUGGUGUCAUUGACACUGAGGCACGAAAGCGUGGGGAGCAAACAGG